AUUAGUGUAGCAGAGCUCGGUUAUGCGAAAGUCCUAAGCCCUUUCAACCAGGGGUUCAAAUCCCCUCACUAAUU
rnacentral:tRNA from 1 species